AGAGUUUGAUCAUGGCUCAGGACGAACGCUGGCGGCACGCUUAACACAUGCAAGUCGAACGAGAGAAGAGGAGCUUGCUUUUCUGAUCUAGUGGCGGACGGGUGAGUAACACGUGAGCAAUCUGCCUUUCAGAGGGGGAUACCGAUUGGAAACGAUCGUUAAUACCGCAUAACAUAAUUGAACCGCAUGAUUUGAUUAUCAAAGAUUUAUCGCUGAAAGAUGAGCUCGCGUCUGAUUAGCUAGUUGGUAAGGUAACGGCUUACCAAGGCGACGAUCAGUAGCCGGACUGAGAGGUUGAUCGGCCACAUUGGGACUGAGACACGGCCCAGACUCCUACGGGAGGCAGCAGUGGGGAAUAUUGCACAAUGGAGGAAACUCUGAUGCAGCGAUGCCGCGUGAGGGAAGAAGGUUUUAGGAUUGUAAACCUCUGUCUUCAGGGACGAAAAAAGACGGUACCUGAGGAGGAAGCUCCGGCUAACUACGUGCCAGCAGCCGCGGUAAUACGUAGGGAGCGAGCGUUGUCCGGAAUUACUGGGUGUAAAGGGAGCGUAGGCGGGAUCGCAAGUCAGAUGUGAAAACUAUGGGCUUAACCCAUAAACUGCAUUUGAAACUGUGGUUCUUGAGUGAAGUAGAGGUAAGCGGAAUUCCUAGUGUAGCGGUGAAAUGCGUAGAUAUUAGGAGGAACAUCAGUGGCGAAGGCGGCUUACUGGGCUUUAACUGACGCUGAGGCUCGAAAGCGUGGGGAGCAAACAGGAUUAGAUACCCUGGUAGUCCACGCCGUAAACGAUGAUUACUAGGUGUGGGGGGACUGACCCCUUCCGUGCCGCAGCAAACGCAAUAAGUAAUCCACCUGGGGAGUACGACCGCAAGGUUGAAACUCAAAGGAAUUGACGGGGGCCCGCACAGGCAGUGGAGUAUGUGGAUUAAUUCGAAGCAACGCGAAGAACCUUACCAGGUCUUGACAUCGUAUGCAUAGCUCAGAGAUGAGUGAAAUCUCUUCGGAGACAUAUAGACAGGUGGUGCAUGGUUGUCGUCAGCUCGUGUCGUGAGAUGUUGGGUUAAGUCCCGCAACGAGCGCAACCCUUACUGUUAGUUGCUACGCAAGAGCACUCUAGCAGGACUGCCGUUGACAAAACGGAGGAAGGUGGGGAUGACGUCAAAUCAUCAUGCCCCUUAUGACCUGGGCCUCACACGUACUACAAUGGCUGUCAACAGAGGGAAGCAAAGCCGCGAGGUGGAGCGAACCCCUAAAAGCAGUCUUAGUUCGGAUUGUAGGCUGCAACCCGCCUACAUGAAGUCAGAAUUGCUAGUAAUCGCAGAUCAGCAUGCUGCGGUGAAUACGUUCCCGGGCCUUGUACACACCGCCCGUCACGCCAUGGGAGUCGGUAACACCCGAAGCCUGUAGUCUAACCGCAAGGAGGACGCAGUCGAAGGUGGGAUUGAUGACUGGGGUGAAGUCGUAACAAGGUA
rnacentral:rRNA from 1 species